rnacentral:misc_RNA from 1 species
GGCGACGAUGGCGGUUAUCAGGGGCCAGAUGCUCGGGCUGGGGGAUGUCUCCCGCAGAUCCGCGCGGGCAUCGGUGACGGUCGAGACGAUGAUCUCACGCUCAUCGACGCCCAGUCCGGUGAGCACAGGAAGUGCUUCGCGCUCCGUCCAGAGGGGACUCCGGCUCGUGACCACGGGGAUACGGUCGAAGUUGUGCGGGGGCGGCGGCGAGGUGGUGGCCCACUCCAGCCCCGGCGCAUCCCAGGGAUUAUCCGGUGCCGCGGGUCCUUUCCGCAGGCCAUUGAAGACGAUGAAAGCAAAAAGCAAGAAGCUGCCAGCAAACAG